rnacentral:rRNA from 1 species
GACGAACGCUGGCGGCGUGCUUAACACAUGCCAGUCGAACGAAGAGCGAUGGAAGCUUGCUUCUAUCAAUCUUAGUGGCGAACGGGUGAGUAACGCGUAAUCAACCUGCCCUUCAGAGGGGGACAACAGUUGGAAACGACUGCUAAUACCGCAUACGAUCUAAUCUCGGCAUCGAGGAUAGAUGAAAGGUGGCCUCUACAUGUAAGCUAUCACUGAAGGAGGGGAUUGCGUCUGAUUAGCUAGUUGGCGGGGUAACGGCCCACCAAGGCGAUGAUCAGUAGCCGGUCUGAGAGGAUGAACGGCCACAUUGGGACUGAGACACGGCCCAGACUCCUACGGGAGGCAGCAGUGGGGAAUCUUCCGCAAUGGACGAAAGUCUGACGGAGCAACGCCGCGUGAGUGAUGACGGCCUUCGGGUUGUAAAGCUCUGUUAAUCGGGACGAAAGGCCUUCUUGCGAAUAGUGAGAAGGAUUGACGGUACCGGAAUAGAAAGCCACGGCUAACUACGUG